UACGUAGGGUGCAAGCGUUGUCCGGAAUUAUUGGGCGUAAAGAGCUUGUAGGCGGUUUGUCGCGUCUGCUGUGAAAACUCGGGGCUUAACCCCGGGCCUGCAGUGGGUACGGGCAGACUAGAGUGCGGUAGGGGAGACUGGAAUUCCUGGUGUAGCGGUGAAAUGCGCAGAUAUCAGGAGGAACACCGAUGGCGAAGGCAGGUCUCUGGGCCACUACUGACGCUGAGAAGCGAAAGCAUGGGGAGCGAACAGG
rnacentral:rRNA from 1 species